rnacentral:rRNA from 1 species
AGAGUUUGAUCAUGGGUCAGAUUGAACGCUGGCGGCAGGCCUAACACAUGCAAGUAGAGCGGAUGAGAGGAGCUUGCUCCUUGAUUUAGCGGCGGACGGGUGAGUAAUGCCUAGGAAUCUGCCUGGUAGUGGGGGAUAACGUUCCGAAAGGAACGCUAAUACCGCAUACGUCCUACGGGAGAAAGCAGGGGACCUUCGGGCCUUGCGCUAUCAGAUGAGCCUAGGUCGGAUUAGCUGGUUGGUGAGGUAAUGGCUCACCAAGGCGACGAUCCGUAACUGGUCUGAGAGGAUGAUCAGUCACACUGGAACUGAGACACGGCCCAGACUCCUACGGGAGGCAGC